rnacentral:rRNA from 1 species
GUGCACCAGUCGAGAAUUUUUCUCAAUGGGGGAAACCCUGAAGGAGCGACGCCGCGUGGGGGAUGAAUGGCUUCGGCCCGUAAACCCCUGUCAUUUGCGAUCAAACCUUACGACUUAACACGUCGUAAGCUGAUAGUAGCGAAAGAGGAAGGGACGGCUAACUCUGUGCCAGCAGCCGCGGCAAUACAGAGGUCCCAAGCGUUGCUCGGAUUCACUGGGCGUAAAGGGUGCGUAGGCGGUCGGGUAAGUCUGACAUGAAAUCUUCAAGCUCAACUUGGAAACUGCGUCCGAUACUAUUCGGCUAGAGGAAUGGAGGGGAGACUGGAAUACUUGGUGUAGCAGUGAAAUGCGUAGAUAUCAAGUGGAACACCAGUGGCGAAGGCGAGUCUCUGGACAUUUCCUGACGCUGAGGCACGAAAGCCAGGGGAGCAAACGGGAUUAGAUACCCGGGUAGU